GCCAUGACUGGGCUCAUUUGGUAGAGCAUGAGACCCUUAAUCUCAGGGUUGUGAGUUUGAGCCCUAUGUUGGGCA